rnacentral:rRNA from 1 species
GACGAAGGGGGCAAGCGUUGUUCGGAAUUACUGGGCGUAAAGCGCGCGCAGGCGGCCUUUUAAGUCUGCUGGUGAAAUGCCGGGGCUCAACCCCGUGCCCGCCACAGAUACUGGGAGGCUGGAGACGAGUAGAGGCAAGCGGAAUUCCGGGUGUAGCGGUGGAAUGCGUAGAGAUCCGGAAGAACACCGGAGGCGAAGGCGGCUUGCUGGGCUCGGUCUGACGCUGAGGCGCGAAAGCGUGGGGAGCGAACAGG